CGCGCAGGCGGAUCUGCCAGUCCAUCUUAAAAGUUCGGGGCUUAACCCCGUGAUGGGAUGGAAACUACAGAUCUAGAGUAUCGGAGAGGAAAGUGGAAUUCCUAGUGUAGCGGUGAAAUGCGUAGAUAUUAGGAAGAACACCAGUGGCGAAGGCGACUUUCUGGACGAAAACUGACGCUGAGGCGCGAAAGCCAGGGGAGCGAAG
rnacentral:rRNA from 1 species